CAUUCAUGGAGAGUUUGAUCCUGGCUCAGGACGAACGCUGGCGGCGUGCUUAACACAUGCAAGUCGAACGAUGAAGCCCUUCGGGGUGGAUUAGUGGCGAACGGGUGAGUAACACGUGGGCAAUCUGCCCUUCACUCUGGGACAAGCCCUGGAAACGGGGUCUAAUACCGGAUAAUACUCCUGCCUGCAUGGGUGGGGGUUGAA
rnacentral:rRNA from 1 species